GACGAACGCUGGCGGCGUGCCUAACACAUGCAAGUCGAGCGAGUGAAUCUCCUUCGGGAGUGAAGCUAGCGGCGGACGGGUGAGUAACACGUGGGCAACCUGCCUCAUAGAGGGGAAUAGCCUUUCGAAAGGAAGAUUAAUACCGCAUAAGAUUGUAGCUUCGCAUGAAGUAGCAAUUAAAGGAGCAAUCCGCUAUGAGAUGGGCCCGCGGCGCAUUAGCUAGUUGGUGAGGUAACGGCUCACCAAGGCGACGAUGCGUAGCCGAGCUGCGAGGGUGAUCGGGCACAUUGGGACUGAGACACGGCCCAGACUCCUACGGGAGGCAGCAGUGGGGAAUAUUGCACAGUGGGGGAAACCCUGAUGCAGCAACGCCGCGUGAGUGAUGACGGCCUUCGGGUUGUAAAGCUCUGUCUUCAGGGACGAUAAUGACGGUACCUGGGGAGGAAGCCACGGCUAACUACGUGCCAGCAGCCGCCGUAA
rnacentral:rRNA from 1 species